rnacentral:rRNA from 1 species
GACGAACGCUGGCGGCGUGCCUAAUACAUGCAAGUUGAGCGCUGAAGGUUGGUACUUGUACCGACUGGAUGAGCAGCGAACGGGUGAGUAACGCGUGGGUAAUCUGCCUUUGAGCGGGGGACAACAUUGGGAAACGAAUGCUAAUACCGCAUAAAAUCUUUAAACACAAGUUUUAAUUUUGAAAGAUGCAAUUGCAUCACUCAAAGAUGAUCCCGCGUUGUAUUAGCUAGUUGGUGAGGUAAAGGCUCAACAAGGCGAUGAUACAUAGCCGACCUGAGAGGGUGGUUGGCCAAAUUGGGAACGGGAACACGCCCCAAACCCCUCGGGAGGCAGCAGUAGGGAAUCUUCGGCAAUGGACGAAAGUCUGAACGAGCAAAGCCGCGUGAGUGAAGAAGGUUUUCGGAUUGUAAAAAUCUGUUGGUAGAGAAGAAAGUUGGUGAGAGUGGAAAGCUCAUCAAGUGACGGUAACUAACCAGAAAGGGACGGCUAACUACGUG